rnacentral:pre_miRNA from 1 species
ACUGGUUUUUUGCCAUAAGCGAGGUAUAGAGUUCCUACGUGCAUUAAUUUGAUAUCUGUAGGAACUUCAUACCGUGCUCUUGGAGAGCCAUUAAAC